rnacentral:rRNA from 1 species
AGCAGCCGCGGUAAUUCCAGCUCCAAUAGCGUAUAUUAAAGUUGUUGCAGUUAAAAAGCUCGUAGUUGAAUUUCGGGAUCAAUACGUCGGUCGUGCUUUCGGGUACGUACUGGCGUCAUUGGUUUCUCCUUUCUGACGAACCAUGAUGUCAUUAAUUUGGUGUUAUGGGGAGUUAGGACUGUUACUUUGAAAAAAUUAGAGUGUUUAAAGCAGGCAUUAGCUUGAAUACAUUAGCAUGGAAUAAUGAAAUAGGACGUUCGAUCCUAUUUUGUUGGUUUCUAGGAUCAACGUAAUGAUUAAUAGGGAUAGUUGGGGGCAUUAGUAUUCAAUUGUCAGAGGUGAAAUUCUUGGAUUUAUUGAAGACUAACUACUGCGAAAGCAUUUGCCAAGGAUGUUUUCAUUAAUCAAGAACGAAAGUUAGGGGAUCGAAGACGAUCAGAUACCGUCGUAGUCUUAACCAUAAACUAUGCCGACUAGGGAUCGGAUGAUGUUAAUUUUUUAAUGACU